GCUCCAGUGGCGCAAUCGGUUAGCGCACGGUACUUAUAAUGCCGAGGUUGUGAGUUCGAUCCUCACCUGGAGCA